GAACCAUACAUACUGACUCAUGUUUGUCCGUUUGUAUUUGUUGUUCUUAAUUGUUGUCAGCUCAUGGGUUCCCUGAGCAUCUGAUAUGAAUUCCUGGCUAUGUCACUGCUACUAGGUCUCUCAAGCUCUAGUAAUCUGAGUUGCAGCUUACAACAGUUUUAACCAGCUGCAGAUGUUCACUGUAAACACCCCUACAACCAACAUUACUGCCAGGAAGCAAGCAGCGACAGGCAAACCUGCCUCAACAACACUAAGGGAUAAAACAUUGGAUCUAAAUGAUAUAAAGCACUUUGUAGCUACUAUAUAUGAUUUCAAUGUCAUGAUUUUUUGUUUUCAUUCUAUGCUUGUCUUUAGUUAUCUGUGGUUUACCAAAAAGAAACUAAUCCUUACAUAUCCAUCAGCUAUAUGUAUAUAUGCUGUAUGGUUUAAAAAACUUUCAUUCUGUAGUUAUGUAUGCACUGUGUCCCAAGCCAUGCUACUGGAUUGUUUUUUUUGUU